UAACUUAGUGGCGGACGGGUGAGUAACGCGUGAGAAUCUGCCUUCAGGACGGAGACAACAGUUGGAAACGACUGCUAAGCCCCGAUGAACCGAAAGGGAAAGUAUUUAUAGCCUGAAGAUGAGCUCGCGUCCGAUUAGCUAGUUGGGGGGGUAAAGGCCCACCAAGGCGACGAUCGGUAGCUGGUCUGAGAGGACGAUCAGCCACACUGGGACUGAGACACGGCCCAG
rnacentral:rRNA from 1 species